rnacentral:rRNA from 1 species
GAUGAACGCUGGCGGUCUGCUUAACACAUGCAAGUCGAACGGAAUCCUUAGGGAUUUAGUGGCGGACGGGUGAGUAACACGUAAGAACCUGCCUCUAGGACGGGGACAACAGUUGGAAACGACUGCUAAACCCGGAUGAGCCGAAAGGUAAAAGAUUAAUCGCCUAGAGAGGGGCUUGCGUCUGAUUAGCUAGUUGGUGAGGUAAGAGCCCACCAAGGCGACGAUCAGUAGCUGGUCUGAGAGGAUGAUCAGCCACACUGGGACUGAGACACGGCCCAGACUCCUACGGGAGGCAGCAGUGGGGAAUUUUCCGCAAUGGGCGAAAGCCUGACGGAGCAAGACCGCGUGGGGGAGGAAGGUUCUUGGAUUGUCAACCCCUUUUCUCAGGGAAGAACACAAUGACGGUACCUGAGGAAAAAGCAUCGGCUAACUCCGUGCCAGCAGCCGCGGUAAUACGGGGGAUGCAAGCGUUAUCCGGAAUGAUUGGGCGUAAAGAGUCCGUAGGUAGUCAUCCAAGUCUGCUGUUAAAGAGCGAGGCUUAACCUCGUAAAGGCAGUGGAAACUGGAAGACUAGAGUGUAGUAGGGGCAGAGGGAAUUCCUGGUGUAGCGGUGAAAUGCGUAGAGAUCAGGAAGAACACCGGUGGCGAAGGCGCUCUGCUGGGCUAUAACUGACACUGAGGGACGAAAGCUAGGGGAGCGAAUGGGAUUAGAUACCCCAGUAGUCCUAGCGGUAAACGAUGGAAACUAGGUGUGGCCUGUAUCGACCCGGGCCGUGCCGAAGCAAACGCGUUAAGUUUCCCGCCUGGGGAGUACGCACGCAAGUGUGAAACUCAAAGGAAUUGACGGGGGCCCGCACAAGCGGUGGAGUAUGUGGUUUAAUUCGAUGCAACGCGAAGAACCUUACCAGGACUUGACAUCUCUGGAAUCUCCUUGAAAGGGGAGAGUGCCGUAAGGAACCAGAAGACAGGUGCUGCAUGGCUGUCGUCAGCUCGUGUCGUGAGAUGUUGGGUUAAGUCCCGCAACGAGCGCAACCCUCGUCGUUAGUUGCCAUCAUUAAGUUGGGAACUCUAGCGAGACUGCCGGUGACAAACCGGAGGAAGGUGAGGAUGACGUCAAGUCAGCAUGGCCCUUACGUCCUGGGCGACACACGUACUACAAUGCGAGGGACACAGAGCAGCCAACCCGCGAGGGAGAGCGAAUCUCACAAACCCUGGCACAGUUCAGAUUGCAGGCUGCAACUCGCCUGCAUGAAGGAGGAAUCGCUAGUAAUCGCAGGUCAGCAUACUGCGGUGAAUCCGUUCCCGGGCCUUGUACACACCGCCCGUCACACCAUGGAAGUGAGCCACGCCCGAAGUCAUUACUCUAACCCUUUCGGGGGAGGAGGGUGCCGAAGGCGGGGUUGAUGACUGGGGUGAAGUCGUAACAAGGUAGCCGUACCGGAAGGUGUGGCUGGAUCACCUCCUUUUAGGGAGACCUACUUUUGAGUAGAGUGCCAAAUCCAACAAAAAUAGCACCAUCAAAAGUCAUCCCAGGUCGUUACGAGAAAAAUGAAAAACACAACAACAGCUUUCAAACUCGGAAGUCCGGUUCAAAACCUAGGACAAUUCAGCACCUAGCUUCAAUCAAAAAAAAGCCAGAAUGCUGGACUAACAAGUCCAGACAGAACCUUGAAAAUUGCAGAGAAACAAAAACUGGCAGUAGUUCGUAGUUAGAACUUUGAGCCAUGGGAAGGGAAACCAACCCAAAAGCCAAAGAGAUAACCACAAACAAAAAAACAGAAACAAAGUUAAGUGGUCAAGAUAGAAAGGGCUGACGGUGGAAAC